AGUAGAUGACGGUACCCGCAUAAGAAGCACCGGCUAACUACGUGCCAGCAGCCGCGGUAAUACGUAGGGUGCGAGCGUUAAUCGGAAUUACUGGGCGUAAAGCGUGCGCAGGCGGUUGUAUAAGUCAGAUGUGAAAUCCCCGGGCUCAACCUGGGAACUGCAUUUGAGACUGCAAGAC
rnacentral:rRNA from 1 species